rnacentral:rRNA from 1 species
AGCAGCCGCGGUAAUUCCAGCUCCAAUAGCGUAUAUUAAAGUUGUUGCAGUUAAAAAGCUCGUAGUUGAAUUUCGGGGUUAGUAGGUCGGUCGUGCCACAGGUAUGUACUGGUCUCACUGAUUCCUCCUUCCUGAUGAACCGUAAUGCCAUUAAUUUGGUGUUGCGGGGAAACUGGACUGUUACUUUGAAAAAUUAGAGUGUUUAAAGCAGGCUAACGCUUGAAUACAUUAGCAUGGAAUAAUGAAAUAGGACGUUCGAUCCUAUUUUGUUGGUUUCUAGGAUUGACGUAAUGAUUAAUAGGGAUAGUUGGGGGCAUUAGUAUUCAAUUGUCAGAGGUGAAAUUCUUGGAUUUAUUGAAGACUAACUACUGCGAAAGCAUUUGCCAAGGAUGUUUUCAUUAAUCAAGAACGAAAGUUAGGGGAUCGAAGACGAUCAGAUACCGUCGUAGUCUUAACCAUAAACUAUGCCGACUAGGGAUCGGAUGAUGUUAAUUUUUUAAUGACUCAUUCGGCGCCUUAC